AUCCAGCUGACGAGUUACAGAUAGGAUGAAACGCGCGUCCUGGAU
rfam:Schistosoma rodhaini strain Burundi genome assembly, scaffold: SROB_scaffold0000079